GACGAACGCUGGCGGCGUGCUUAACACAUGCAAGUCGAACGGUAAGGCCCUUCGGGGUACACGAGUGGCGAACGGGUGAGUAACACGUGGGUGAUCUGCCCUGCACUUCGGGAUAAGACUGGGAAACUGGGUCUAAUACCGGAUAGGACCACUGCCUGCAUGGGUGGUGGUGGAAAGCUUUUGCGGUGUGGGAUGGGCCGGCGGCCUAUCAGCUUGUUGGUGGGGUGAUGGCCUACCAAGGCGACGACGGGUAGCCGGCCUGAGAGGGUGACCGGCCAAACUGGGACUGAGAUACGGCCCAGACUCCUACGGGAGGCAGCAGUGGGGAAUAUUGCACAAUGGGCGCAAGCCUGAUGCAGCGACGCCGCGUGAGGGAUGACGGCCUUCGGGUUGUAAACCUCUUUCAGCACCGACGAAGCGCAAGUGACGGUAGGUGCAGAAGAAGGACCGGCCAACUACGUGCCAGCCGCCGCAGUAA
rnacentral:rRNA from 1 species